rnacentral:rRNA from 1 species
AACGAACGCUGGCGGCAGGCUUAACACGUGCAAGUCGAACGCAUCCUUCGGGGUGAGUGGCAGACGGGUGAGUAACGCGUGGGAACGUGCCCUUCAGUUCGGGAUAACCCAGGGAAACUUGGGCUAAUACCGGAUACGUGCGAGAGCAGGAAGAUUUAUCGCUGAAGGAUCGGCCCGCGUCUGAUUAGCUAGUUGGUGGGGUAAUGGCCCACCAAGGCGACGAUCAGUAGCUGGUCUGAGAGGAUGAUCAGCCACAUUGGGACUGAGACACGGCCCAAACUCCUACGGGAGGCAGCAGUGGGGAAUAUUGGACAAUGGGCGCAAGCCUGAUCCAGCCAUGCCGCGUGAGUGAUGAAGGCCUUAGGGUUGUAAAGCUCUUUCGUCCGGGACGAUAAUGACGGUACCGGAAGAAGAAGCCCCGGCUAACUUCGUGCCAGCCGCCGCAGUAACAC